CAGGACACCUGGCUGGAACUGUUCACGCAGAGAGCUCUCACUCUGAGCUGCGGCGGAGGCUGAGCGAAGCCGAGAGGAAACGGGCGGAGCUGCAGGCGGAGUCCGAUCACAACGAGAAGCUGCUGCAGGAAACCGAGGCGAAGCUUCAGGCUCUGCAGCGGCACACCAAAGAAGAAGAAAACGCGUGGAAGGACAAACUGACUGCAGCCGAACAGCAGAGACAAACAGUGAGACAGUCAGACAAACAGU